GAGUGCAACAGCUGAUCCCUUUCGGAGUGGAGUUUCCUAGCUGGUGCCUGUCCUCUCUUGAGCCUUUGUUUCUUGAGUGAGCACUCACUGGGGCUGUGGCUCCAUGAACUGGAUUUCAGGAAACCAGCCAAGGCAUUCUCUCUCUCUCUCCAUUCCUAGAAAGGCAGAAAGCCUGGGAAUGGGUUCGGCAGGAAGAUCUCUGUACCUCAAUCUCCAUUGCUUUCAGCACCACUGGCUUUCUCCCCAGCUCAAGUGCAAAACCUGCCAUCGUUGCUACCUGGGGUGCCUCAGACUCACCCAAGUCCCCCAGGCCAGAGGACAUGCUCUCAAGCCUUGUUUCAGAAAGAGGGACCCAAAGGCUGUUAGGGAAGAGAACCAGGGUCCUCAAACCCAGGGUUUUCUCACCCACUGCCUCUGCUCUGGCUGUGGCCUGCCAGACCUCUCCUCUGAUUUUCGCUUUCCUUCCUGCCAGUGCCUUUGUUUAUCCGAGGCGCCAAGAUCCCACUGUGAAGUCUGAAAGGAAGACCAGUGGUUCUCGCUUUUCCUCUAGAUGCUGUGUCUCCCAAUGUCAUCUUCUUUCCUCUCAAAGACAAUUGGACGUUGUUACAGAUUUUCUUGGAAUGAGUAAAUACCUAGCAGUGGGAUUGCUGGAUCAUAUGAAAAUGCCAGACUAUAUUUCAUCAGCAACAUCGGAGAGUUCCAGUUGCUCUACACCCUCACUAGCACUUAAUAUUGUUGAUCGCUGCCUGGAUUCACAGAAGGACAAAUUACAAUGCAUUUUGAAAGACUCGUCUACAGUCAACUAAAAUACCAGUUAUCACAGACUUCACUGGCCUUAAUGAGGAGGCUGAGAGGGAUUUAAUUACUGGGACAUGCAACGCUUACACCAAACUCUGUUCGAUUCACGACUUGGAAAAGCAAAUGUGGAUACAGAUGAGUGUGGACAUGGCUUCAGUAGGAAAUGUCGAGUUUGUUCAUCACUCUGAAGUUUCUUCAGCUGCAACGGAAACUGCACCCUCCCUCCCGACUUGUUGGUUAUCUUGCUGUGCUCCCAAGAAGGUAUUUUCUGCUGACCUGAUAGAUCAGGUAAGAGAAUAGCAAUGUGUCUUUUGUCAUCUGCCUCCAGUUCCCUGGCUGCCUGCAUUGCUGUGUUUGUUAUCUGUGGAUUGAAGGUGACACCACUCUCAAGGAGGGUGAAGGCAGAGGUGUAUGCACAGCUAGUACCAGUAACACCCCUAGAGUGAGCCAAGAGAAGAUGAGGUAAGGAGGAAAGGGAGACUUAGUCAUGGGCCUAGGAAAAAGCGUGGGGGGUUACCUAUGUAGAAGGUAUGGAUGGUGAAGCUGGAUCUCUUUUUACCUGUGGUGAGCACACCAUACCGGACAACCCAGGGCCUACAUUAUAGAGGGUGCACUCUGCACAUGCAAUGCAUUUUGUCAACAGAAAGCUCUGUGUAAAAGUCUUAAAGCAACUCUUUAGAAAUCCUGUUUCAUUAUUAAUUUAGAAGGAUUCAAAUAGGAAAUGUGGCAACAGCUGUAAUGGGUAUUAAAAGCCCCCACUGGCAGUGCUGGGUCUUAGCUGCCUCCAGUGGUGAUCCUCUUCAAAUAAGGAAUCUUGAGCCAAAAAUCCACCCUUCCUGUUAAAUAAGUGUUCAUACUCAUUAUUUUAUUAUAAAAGUCAUAAUAGCUUGACAGUACGGCAAAGGACAGUGAAAGAUAAAUGCACAUAAGUAGUAUAAUGCAGUAAUUAAGAGCCUGGUAAAAAUCUCAACUCUGUCACUUAAUAACCUAAAUCACUUAAUAGCUUUGUGCCUCAAUCUAAAAUACUGAUAAUAAUAACAGUAAUAAUGUUUGCCUUCGUGAUGUUGUUGUGGAGAAGAAACAAGUUAAUAUAGAUAAAGUACUUAACAUAGUAUCAGGCCAACAUAGGAUCAUAGCAAGAGGAAGCAUUCAAUAAUUAGUUGUGGUUGGGUUAUCAUUAUUGUUGUUGCUAUUGUUGUUAUUAUGACACUAACAUCUACAACUUUCUGUAUUUCAUCUGUCAACAAAUAUUUCAAUAUCAAAUCUGAUCCUGCUCCUUGACUCAGACCUUUGUCAUUUUGAUUGAAAAGAUGUUUACCUGUUGGUCCCCAGCCUCACUCUUCUGAACCUCAGAUCCACUGAGUGUGUAUCCAGAGGUAAGUAUGUGGUAAGUAUGCUUGUCAUUUACAUUAUCUGUCAGCAUGAGUAUUGGUUUCCUAGAAACCUAAUAUUGAAAACACUUAGCAUUGCUAAAAGCAUUAAAUGAAAUAAAGACUCAAUAUAGCUGCACUAAUCUGUGCUUUCUAAAUUUACUGAUGGACGUGAAGAAAGUAGGUUGGCAUGGAGUUUAUACAAUUUAUGGAUCACACUGAUCUGAAUUCAGACAGUGUGUGCUCAGAUAAAAAUAUUGUUUCCUCCCAUGAGGUUUCCAAUUUUGCAGAGAAGAAUACCUCUGUUUAGCUCAUUACUUAACACAAUGGGUAGCUGGGUGGCCUUGCAUUCUGGAAGUGAAAUGACACAAGAAUGUCUCCACUGCAUUCUCCAGAGGUAAAGAUUCUCUGGCACAAAAUCACAACCAAGGUGGGGUUCCAAAACUAUAGAACAAAUGGCAGCAGCCAUGCAGCCAGCCUUGGUUCGGGUGGGCUGUAAAAGCAGAGGUUGUCCUCGUGUUAUCAGCACUGACUUCCUGUUGUGGCCACACUGACAGAGAUGAGAUGGCAGAAAGCAGGAAAGAGACCAGAGCUGCAAUUGACAGAUGGCUGGCCAAAGUUGAAGGGUCAGAGACUACACCAAAGACUUCUCAGAAAAUACUUGCCUAGGAGGCUCUCACUUGGAAAGAUAUUCAGGGUUGUUAAACAUAUCCUGUUAUUAGGAAAACGAGAGUUUUAUCUUUCUCUUACUCAGAAAGAAAAAACAAAAAGAAAAUUAGUGCUCUUAAGAAAAGCUAUUUUAAUGUUAUCCAUUAUAAAAUUAGAAAACCUUGAAAGGCAAAUGUUUCUUCUGACCAUUUACACUGAGCUUCUUUCAUUAUCUCAUAUGCAACCUUGUGGAUUGAAGGUGGAGAGUCCUUAGGAUUACCCAGGAACAUCCCUGUCUGCUCCCCCUGCUAGGCAGGAGGAGAUUUGAAACCACAUGUGUCUACUUCAUUUCUGUCACGGGUAGGACAGUGUCAUAUACUUUGUAGGUAACUCAAAGAUAUUAUAGGUAACUCAUAGAUAUUGAUUGAAUUAAUGUUUAAUAAAAUGAGAACACCAGCUCUGCUGUUAUCAUCAUCCUCAUUUCGAUUCGCUGAACUCUGCACCAAGGCCAAAUACAUUAUACUUUAGGCUUUGUUAAAGCCAUCUAUGUAAAGCUGGCUGAAGUCGAACUGUACAGUAAACAAGAGAUGGUAAUAGUCUCUGCAUGUGUUAUUUCUUUCAACUCCAAACCUCAAAGCAUUUUAGGAAGAAAUACUAUUUCAUCUUUAAAAAAAAAUAGAAAAAAGAAACUUCUGAAAAAUUAAUGCAAUCUAAAUAAUAGUCAUUAAAAAGUAAAUUAUGGUAAAAUGGCAUACUAUGCAGUCAUUAAAGAGACGAUGUUGCUCUAUACUUAUUUACAUAGAACAUUAUCCUUGGGAAAAAAACUUAUUUAAAAAAUAGAAACAGUUUAAAAUAUGUUUAAUAUAAUGCCUUUCGUAAAAAAAAAUGUAUGGGUAUAUGUGUAAAAAUGUGUAUGGGUGUGUGUGUGUUUGUAAAUAGGAAAUAAUUGGAAGAUAUUCAACACAAGUUUCCAUGGAUGAGAUGGGAGGCAGAUGAUAAGUGAUAUUUGUUUCUAUAUUGUAUGUAUUACUACAUUUUCUGUUUUUAUAGUAAUGAAAAAGUAUUAGUUUACAUUCUGAAAUAAAUGUAACUAGCUUAAAAUAAUAUGUAGCAGCAAUCUUAAAAAAUUUUUAUUUACUAAAAAUCUCAUCAUCCAAUAAUUAUUUAAAUACCUUUUCAUACUAUCUGUAUAAGUUAGCUAAUGUUUUAUAACAAAGCCUUGAAGUAGUAAUUUAUUAUUAUGGCCCAUGAAUCUGUGGGACACCUGAGGACUAAGUAUUGACUGACUUAGGUUGAGCUUCACUGACAUUAUAGACUGAAUUAUGGCCUUCAAAAUUCAUAUGUUGAAAUCCAAAUCCCCAGUACCUCAGAAUGUGAUUGUAUUCAGAGAUGGGGUCUUUAAAGAGGUAAUUAAGGUAAAGUGAGGUCAUAAGGGUGGGUUCUAAUCCAAUAAGAUUGGUAUCCUUAUAAAAAGAGGAGAUUUGGACACAAACCUGAGCAUAGAGAAAACACCAUGUGAACAUAAAGACAGCCAUCUACAAGGCACAGAGAGAGGCCUCAGAAGAAAUCAGACCUGCUGACACCUUGAUCUUAGAUCUCCAGCCUGCAGAACUGUUAGGAAAUAAAUGUCUGUUGUUUUAAUUUACAUAGUCUCUGAUACUUUGUUAUGGCAGCCCUAGCAAACUCACAAGCUGCUAUCAACUGGGGUCACAUUAUAGGUUGACUAGGAGACCUGCUCUAAGCUAGAUCUGUGUAGGGUACUUUAGCUGGGGGAACUCAUCUCCAAAUGUCUAAAUUUCUUCUUCAAGCACCUGUGAACUUCAAGCUCUGGCAUAUCCUUCUCAUGGAUGGCAAGAACACAAGAGAGAAAGUGGAAACAUGCAAAAUUUCUUGAGACCUAAUCUUGGAGCUAGCACACUGUCACUUCUGUCUCAUUCUGUUGGUUUAAGCAAUUCACAUGACUAAGCCUAAGAUAGAGAAUUAUGCUGUGUCUACUAUGGGAAAGCAUUGCAAAGUGGCAUGGUAAAGAGUGUAGAUGCCGGGGAGGGAGAGUAGGGCAGAGCAAUCAGGGCCAAUGAUAUAAUCUACCAUGAUACCUUAGUGUUCACAUAUCUGUUUAUAUUGCAGCAUUCUUAGUCCACAUACUGUAACUAUAUAUUUCCAAUUUCACUCAAUAUUUAAUCUUAUAUCACAUUUUUAACAUAAUUCAUUUUUUAUUUUAUCGAAUGCAUAAUAUAUAUAUUAAUUGAGACUUCAGAGGUACAUGGUCAAUUGCACAGUAGGAUAGUGAGGAACUAGAAUAAGGAAAAUCACAUUGAAAAUUUGUUCCAAAAAAUUAGUCAGUAAAAUUAGCACAUAAAUAAACCAAUAUAAAAGUUUAAUUCAAAUGGAAAAUUUCAUAACAGCACAGUAUAGUGUUUUGCACAUAGCAAGCACUCAAUCAUGUUUGUUGACUAGACUCUAUGUGAAUUUGUUUUGAAUGUGGGAACUGUUGCUAAAACAACACAUUCAAAAUGUGGAAAACCUCAUUUUUUGAAAUAAAGAACAACAGCAACAAUAAAAAAUACAUACAAAAUACUGAUGACAGUAUAAACUGUAAAAUGUCACAAUUUAGUAUCCAUCCUCAGCUUUCUGCUUAGAAACAUGUGGAAGCAUUUUACAGGCCUGUUAAAACUUUUUGAUCUACUUGGAUGAAAGAUUAGCUAAAAUUUAGCCAUUCUGUUACCACUUUAAAACUAUGAUUUUAUUUUUGCACUCCAAACACUUUUAAGUUACUGAAAAAUGAAUAAUCAAAGAAUUUUGUUUUCUGAAGAGAGAUAGCCUCAUUUUUCUAAGAGGAUCAAAGGAUGAGAAAGCUUUGUUGAAGGUUUCCUUCUAAGAGAAAGUAAAUCUUGGCUCCAAAUUCAUUUUCCAAAUCAGGAAGUAGAAAAUUUUUUCAGGAAAGGAUUGAACUAGGGAAGCAGAAAAAAAAAAUUUUCCACUGGUUAAUUAUUUUGAUAAUUUGGUUCUAAAAACAUUACCAGUAUAUAUAUUGCUAAAAAAAUAUUUUAGUGUCUUAUAUGGUAAGUAAUUCCAUCAUUUAAAAAGCAUGUGGAAAUUGCAAAGCUAAAUAGCAGACAUAUAUUUAUUAUAUUUGGUUCAUGCACAUACUCUAGGGAUAGCUAAAUGUGUGUAUAGUACUCUUUUGUAUCCUCUAUGAAACCUCUCCAAAGCUAUUAUGAAUUAUAUUGUUUAAAUAUGUCCUCACUCAGCUUCAUGAGAGUUAUUCCCAACUCAGUUUCAAACUGAACACAUGUUGCAUCUGUUUUCUGUUUGUGAAUAUUGAAUGUUUGGCACUUUCAUUGGGAUAUUUUUCUUUGGAAUGAAAUAAUUUCAAAUAUUCACUUAAUCAAAACAUCAGUUUCCUUUUCCAGUUUCCAUUGUGGAUUGUUGGUAGGUUUCCCAGACCAGCUCUCUUGUGCUGUGCAGAGGGACCCUCCUCCUCUUGGUGCAUAGGAAGGAACAGAGGGGAAAGGAAACAACAUCUGGACCAUGGGCUUGUCCCUUCUCCACAUCUUGUUCCUCUCUAGAUUUCACCUGACUUGAGGUCUCAUUCAAGUACUCUUGAAGAUUUUAACUGUUUUGUCCUCUUCUGAUUAUUUAUAACUUCCUUUUUUUCUUUUUGAAAAUGUUACUGGGAGCAGAAUAAUUGAAGUUCUGUGAAGCCACUGGAAACUCACUGCUCCCUCUCCUGCCAGUUUCAAUAAAAAGCUUUUUUUUUUUUUUUGAGGACCUAUAUCUUUGGGAUAUACAUGUUUAAGCAAAAUUAACCUGGCAGGGGAGAUACAUUGAGAAGGGUUGAUUGAAGCAGUAAGAGAUUGGAAGGGGGAAAGACAAACUCAGAGGCUCUGGCCACCAUGCAUGGAGGAAAUGAGGAAGAUUACUGCUGUAAAAUUCAGUGAAAAAAAUCCAUGUGCUACUAGGAAAAGCAUGGACUUCAAAAUCAGAAAAAUUGGAGUUGAAUCCCAGCCCAACAACUCAUAAACUCUGUGACUUCAAGCAAGCUUUUCUUGAGUGAAAUUCAGUUUGACCAGCUAAUACGUGCAGUUCCUAGACUCCCUUGGAAUCUCUCCAAGAGACAGAUGGAGUUUCACUCUUGUUGCCCAGGCUAGAGUGCAACGGCAUGAUCUCAACUCUCUGCAAACUCUGCCUCUUGGGUUCAAAUGAUUCUCCUGCCUCAGCCUCCCUAGUAGCUGGGAUGCUUGACUGGCCUAGCCUCCCAGCCUACAUCAUUCUCCUGUGCGGGAUGCUUCCUGCUUCAAGCAUCGGACUCCAAGUUCUUCAGUUUUGAGACUCAGACUGGCUCUUCUUGCUCCUCAAGUUUGCAGACAGUCUGUUGUGGGACCUUGUGAUC
rnacentral:lncRNA from 1 species